CUCUGUCAAGGAGCCAAGCGGACCCCAACAUGGGGUCCCCUCCGUCGGCCCCCACAUCCGACCACGAACCUGCCUGCCCAGACCCUUCGAGGUCUCCUACAGCGCCAUCAUUCAGCAGUUGCCAAGCUACUUGGCAAACUCUUAUUCAGCCGCUAAGAACCCCAACACUGGUGCCCCUCCAUCCAGGAAGCCCUCCGGACUCUCCCUCCGGGGCGGUCCAAUCCCCAGUCUCCCCCGCCCCGUCCCUGAGCCCACAGGGUGGGUGUUCGCAAGGGUAGACUGGCGUCGAGGACCGUGCUUUGUCCCUGUGAUGCCAGCAGUUGCCUCUAGAGGGCGCGAGAAGGAUAUUGUUCUGGGUCACGUCGGGCCGGAUGGUGAAACCUUCCUCAUCCACCUCUGGACACAUCUGCAGGGAAGAAAAGGACUGAGGCUCAGAGAAAAACACCGCAGGUCACACAGAGA